CGCCAGGGUCGCCGCCAACAGCCGCAGCCCCCCGGGAGAGGGCGGGGAGGGGGAGGGCGCGCUAACGCCGGACUUGAGCGGCCUCGGCAACUGGGGCCCACUGGUCAGCGAAGAGUUCCGCAAAUGCCUGGAGAAGCCCGCCGAGUGCGGCAUCAUCAUCGAGUGACCGACCACGGCAUCGUCGCCUCGAUCGUCGCCCACUCAGCCCGAAGCACGUCACUACGAACACGGCACCACGUCAGCGCUUUCUAAAAUACACCGUGUCUUGUUUCUGUUACUGACAUCCGACUGAGAGAGAAAUAACCAGCGACCGGGGCGUGAAUCGCAGCGCCGACUCAACGGGGCGUGGCGUGGCGCUGCAGAGCCGCGGCUGCGAGUUGCACCCUUUGGCUCCAAAGCGCACCUGCCGGAGGACGUCAACGCCGUCGGGGGUCGCCGAGCUGGCGAAGGACGAAGUGGACGAAGUGGACGAAGGACCCCGCGCCGAGGACAGGCAACGUGCUCUGUCUCCCUCUUACUUCAGUCCCGUAAAGGUGCGAGAGAGACGGCUGCUGCAGUCGAGC